CAGUCGAGGGGCAGCGAGAUCAGUGCUUGCACUGAUUGUCGGCGACCGGCGCACGGGUGCGUAACGCGUAUGCAACCUACCCAUUACAGGGGGAUAACACUGAGAAAUCGGUACUAAUACCCCAUAACAUCCAGGGAGGCAUCUUCUUGGGUUGAAAACUCCGGUGGUAAUGGAUGGGCAUGCGUUGUAUUAGUUAGUUGGUGGGGUAACGGCUCACCAAGACCACGAUACAUAGGGGGACUGAGAGGUUAACCCCCCACAUUGGUACUGAGACACGGACCAAACUCCUACGGGAGGCAGCAGUGAGGAAUAUUGGUCAAUGGACGCAAGUCUGAACCAGCCAUGCCGCGUGCAGGAAGACGGCUCUAUGAGUUGUAAACUGCUUUUGUACGAGGGUAAACGCAGAUACGCGUAUCUGUCUGAAAGUAUCGUACGAAUAAGGAUCGGCUAACUCCGUGCCAGCAGCCGCGGUAAUACGGAGGAUUCAAGCGUUAUCCGGAUUUAUUGGGUUUAAAGGGUGCGUAGGCGGUCGGAUAAGUUAGAGGUGAAAUCCCGAGGCUCAACUUCGGAAUUGCCUCUGAUACUGUUCGGCUAGAGAGUAGUUGCGGUAGGCGGAAUGUAUGGUGUAGCGGUGAAAUGCUUAGAGAUCAUACAGAACACCGAUUGCGAAGGCAGCUUACCAAGCUACUUCUGACGUUGAGGCACGAAAGCGUGGGGAGCAAACAGGAUUAGAUACCCUGGUAGUCCACGCAGUAAACGAUGAUAACUCGUUGUCGGCGAUACAGUGUCGGUGACUAAGCGAAAGCGAUAAG
rnacentral:rRNA from 1 species